rfam:Clostridium phytofermentans ISDg, complete genome.
AACUACCUGAAGUGCUCGAUACUCUUGCUAUUUUGAACCUACAAUACUUUAAACGGGAUUCCUAUAUUGGUGAGCGGAUGUCAAGCCUCCGUUUGCAGUGGAAGGCAGAAACUUACUUGCGGUUACCCACCUAGCUUGUGCUAGGAGUCAAAAUACAGGAACCGGCAUUUUGGGGGUUAC